UAGGGAAUCUUCCGCAAUGCGCGAAAGCCUGACGGAGCAACGCCGCGUGAGUGAUGAAGGUCUUCGGAUCGUAAAACUCUGUUAUUAGGGAAGAACAAAUGUGUAAGUAACUAUGCACGUCUUGACGGUACCUAAUCAGAAAGCCACGGCUAACUACGUGCCAGCAGCCGCGGUAAUACGUAGGUGGCAAGCGUUAUCCGGAAUUAUUGGGCGUAAAGCGCGCGUAGGCGGUUUUUUAAGUCUGAUGUGAAAGCCCACGGCUCAACCGUAGAGGGUCAGUGGAAACUGGAAAACUUGAGUGCAGAAGAGGAUAGUGGAAUUCCAUGUGUAGCGGUGAAAUGCGCAGAGAUAUGGAGGAACACCAGUGGCGAAGGCGACUUUCUGGUCUGUAACUGACGCUGAUGUGCGAAAGCGUGGGGAUCAAACAGG
rnacentral:rRNA from 1 species